GCUUUUUUGACACGACACGGAACAUACAAUAUAAACUCGACUCGUAAACUCGAAUCGUAAAAUCGUAAAAUCGCAAGUAAAAGUUUUUAACUAAAAAUCGUAAAAUCGCUAGUAAAAUAUUUUAAACAAUACAAAUAUCCAAACAUCUUAAAAUACAUAAUUCAAAUAAAAGUAAAAUAAAUAAUACAUUAAAAUACAUAAUUCAAAAAAAAGUAAAAUAAAUAAUACAAAUAUCCAAACAUCUUAAAAUACAUAAUUCAAAUAAAAAUUCAUACAUGUCCAUAGAAUUCAGCACAAAUUGCCACUGGUAAUUUUUUUAGAUGUCAUAUAUCCUGCAGUUCAAGAAUCAAUAUAUGCAUAAAAAAGGCAACUAUUCAGCACAAAUUGCACAAAUUGCACAUGUACAGUUCUAUCUAUAUGUACAUCCUUGAUUAAUGUGGGUAUGUCAUGCUUUUCAAAAGUAGAAUGAGAAAGCAAAAACCGGCCAAUAGCAGCAUGUACAAUUCUAUCUACCAAUAUUUCCUGAUACAUUGAACUGCUUCAUAUCAGAAAUUACAAUUCAUGCAUGUGCAACAAAAGCAGCUUCAAACACAGUUUUUCACUCCCAAGAAUUUUGCUAACAUAACCAAUUUUAGAAGUAUCACAACAGACUUAAGACAACAAAUUUGAAGUUUAAAUGCAAUAAUAACUAUGUGUCCUAUGCAAGAUUGAUAAAAUUAUGUGUCCCAUUUCAUCAGGCAAGUUUCAUUACAAGAAUGAUGAAAGGAUAUAUAAUAAAAUUAAAUGCUAAGUAAAGUGCUUAAAAACAUGAAGCUCCAGAACUAAGAUUUUUGAAAUCUAGCUAUUGCACAGGAGACAAUUUGUAUUAAGCACAAUUUGAAUCACAAAGCACUGUAUUUUAUUCUAUAUUAAGCAUAGAUGCAUUGAACAAAAAAAAACGUUAUCUUAUCAACACAGAAAACUGGUAUUUAAUUCUAUAUUAAGCAUAUUGCUAAACUAAUGGGGAAACGAAAGCAACAGCAGCGAUGGUUACCCGAACACAACCGACCCUUGAGAAUGAAUAUAUCAUAUAUGCCAUAACUCCUCCCACCUGUACAAGUCCUCCCUCUUUUCCACACUCAUUCUUAAUUCAAGCUCCAUUCCCGUAUUCAAAUAUUCUUCCAUUCACACCUUCUUUUGGUUUCAAUUCACAGUUCAAGAACUAUCAAGUGAAAUAUGGUUAUAUACUUAUAUUCAUUCAACAGAAGCACUCCUAAAAACAGAGGCUGUUAAUUCAAAACAAUGAUAAUUUAGUUCUAACUUCUCUUCCAUUUCCAACUCUGAUGUUUUUUAACUUGAUCGAAGCAUAGUAUAAAAAAUUAAUUAAAAAAAACAAUUGAAAUAAAAUAAAAUAAAAUUAUAACUUAAUAUAAUUUUUCUAAAUACAAAUCGAAAAAUAGAAGCAGGAAAAAAAAUAUAAAGGUAGAAAAACAGAAACAAAACAAGAAAAAAUGAUGUAAAAAAUGAUGAAAAACUUAAGGAUAACGCAUAAUAAUCAACAGAAAUUAAACACAAAAAAAAACUAAAAUAAACAUGAUAUUUUGAAAAUAUACCUGAUGAAAUCGAUCGGGUCAGAAAUCAAGAAAAUCAAAGUCGAUGAAAUGAGGAGGAACUAGGAAGGACUGAGCCACUGAGGAGAUGAAUUUGGAGAGAGCGGAAUCGAUAGGACUGUAGGAGGUCUUUCGAUCGAGAGAGAGAGCGUUUCAAGAGGAUGGAAGAAUCAAGAAUGGAAGAAAGAGAGUAAGAGACUGCUGUGUGCUUAGUCAGAGGAGAGAGGACAGAGGGCAUUUCAAAAUUCUGCUUUUGUUGAAAAUUUUGCUAAACUCGGGAAAACGUUACGUUUUUAACGUUUUUUCCGAGUUGACCCGUUUUUAAACGAGUUUGACCGGGUUUGACCGAUUUUACUGGUUUUCGAGUUUUAACCCCGAUUUUACAUGUUUUAUGUGUUUUAACUCGUAAAAUCGUUCGAUUUUA
rnacentral:lncRNA from 1 species